UUCACCGCUCAAACAACGUUGGAAUCACUUAAUCAGAUACAGCUAUGGCCAGUGUGGUAACGCCUGCUAUUAUAAAUUAUUCACUGGAUACUCAAUGUGUGCGUACAUUCAAAAGGGAAGAUUUAAUGUUUGCGGUUAAGGUAAUUGCACACUCCAGACAACAGUGAUUAUAACGCAUUUAAAUUACUUGUUUAUGUCGACACCGGUGGAAACAUUGGAAAACAUUUUAAAAAUGAUGGUCGGCGAAUUGUAAUAAGGAAAGAAGUUUAUGAAUUUUUCAUCUAGCAUUCAUCUUUCAUCUAACAUUUUUCAAAUUGCAAAACUAAACACCGCACUUACAAUUUAAAUGGUUCUAUUUUAAUUUUUCGCAAAGGUUUCGUAGGGUUGCAAUUUUGUUUCGUUUAUCCUUUUACGAAUAAUUACAGCAGUAGUUUGAUGAAGAUUCAUGAAGCGAGGUCAUUAAACGUGUUUAUAUUUUUAGCUAAAUUGGUCCCUAUCCCCAUUUGUAACAAAAUAGCAGGAGAACUUACGAUAUUGUUACACUUCGAGUUUGAUAAAAAUCCAUUACAUCUUAGUGGUUAAUGCGAAGAAAGGCAUAUCUACUUUUGGCUGUAGUGGUCCUUAAUAGGACCCAAGUUCCUAUAUAAAUAAAUUUGGAAGAGGACCUUAUAAUGAUGCUCCAGACCAAGUAUGACAAAGAUCCACCAAGCUGUUCAUGAGACGCUGUAUAAAGGCAUUUCUAGUUUUAGCUCUAGCAGCCCCUAAAAGGGGUCAAAUGUCCCAGCUGCACAAAGUUGGCUGCGGGCCUAAUAAAGAUGCUACAAAUCAAGUUUGAUUAGAAUACAUGAGAAAAAAAAUCAAUUAAAGGAUUUUUUAUUUAUUAUUUUUAUUUAUUUCUAAGAUAGACCAACUGAACCCGCUUUAACAAAUGCAUAUUCGCUAUUCAUGAAUCUUUGGACAAUGACGUCACACCUAUAAAAAAGUGAAGGUCAAGCAAAACAUACAACUGCAAUUAUUUCAAUAUUUUUGUUUCAUAAGGAAAGUUUGACCGUAGUCAUAUCACACAGAUAAACUGUAUGCAGCGUACCUUCAUUUCAGUGUAAUUAAUGAGAUUCAGUCAUUAUAUAGCAUAUAUAUAAUAAAGGGUGCAGGUCAAAACGUACCCAAACCAAAAUGUACCCACAUGGUAAAGUCAAAAUGUACCCAAAAAAGUCAAAAUGUACCCACUUGGCUAAGUCAAAAUGUACCCAAAAAAGUCAAAAUGUACCCAAUUACUUUGGCAUUUAGUAUUUAAAUACCCAUAAAUUCAGCUAUGUAUUAUAUGUAAUAUUUUAAAUAUAUGUAAGUUGUAGAUUGAAUGUUAGAGAAGUAGAUCUAAUAAAACUAGAUUAGCACAAUAAUUGAUUACUUUUCGCACCUACAGCACAGUUGUUUCACACCUGUUGUGAAAUUUUUUACUCCUGUCUUUAUUAGACUGUCAAUGGAGUGAUUGACACCUAAUUUAAUUAUCAAAGUGACUUUCUUUAAUGUCCGAGUUUGUAAAUUUCCUACUUUAUUUACUAUUGUUAAAAAAUCAGUAACACAAGUCUGUUUUAAAUACUUUAUUUUUCACCCUAAUUUUGUUUUAUAUAUAUGCAUCUGCAGCUAUCUUAUCAGAAUCCUAUAUAUAUAUCUGUAAAAACUCUUAAUAACUUAUACACAUAUACACAAAAUACAAAAUAAAUAAUAUUAGCAUGAUUAGAGCUGCAGGUACUGGUUGCACUAUUUCAUCGCUGAAACUAAACACUAGUUGCUCCAUAAUUGUCUUAUCAAACUAUUCACUAUUCAAACAUUUUAUACAUAUUUACAAAAUAAAUAAUAUUAGAGAUGCACUAUUUCUAAGUCUGAUCCAUGAAAUGUCUAAUAAUUUGAACUAUUCAAACACUGAUCCAUGAAAUGUCUAAUCAUCUGAAUUAUUCAAACACUGGUGCAUAAACACGUGAAAGUUUCUUUAAGAGUUUAGAUGUUGUCAAGGAGUCUGAUUCAUAUUGCUCCCACAUAUUAAAAAUCUUUGUCUGCAUAGACCUCACUUGUUUCCUCUGAGCUUUUUUCAGCUUACUUUCUGACACUAGCUUCAUCUGCAGACUUAGGCGCUGUGACUCUUCAUGUAGUUUUUCAACUAGGAUGUAGAAGGGAGGUGGUCCAUUGGUAAUGUAGUUCAAUCCCAGUAAACACCUGACGUCGUACCGACGUUGGUUAGACGUUGGAUUUUGGUCGCGACGUCGGCGACCUGAAUCCAACGUCUAACCAACGUCAUAACCACGACGUCUAAUAGACGUCAGACUUAGACGUCUAGGAGACGUUGGAAUUAGGUUGGUUAGAAAGUCUGUUUAAAUGUUUUCAUUUAUGAAAUUAACUGGUGUAAUUUUGCUAGUAUAAUUUAAAGAUAGUAAUGCCUGAACAUGCGCUUAUAAAUAAUAGGUCAUUCGCACAUCAAACAUUAUCAUCAAUUAUGUUACAAAAUCCCAUGAGAUGGUCUAUUUUCGGAAACGGAUUUCUUUUUUACCAAUUUAAACUGUUCAGGAAAAAAUUGCAUUCUAUACACAUGUAUAAAUUAUUCUAAAUUCACCUAAGGAUCUUCUUCUACACAUGUUAUUUAUUAGUCAUGCCUUUGCGAGAUAAGCCUGCAUCGGUUUACACAAGUCUUCCGGUAAUUUGAUAUUUUGUGGGAUAAGAUAGAGCAAGUUUAUAAAUACUUUACACAAAGGGAUCCGCAACAUGGGAAUUUUAGCGGAGUUGAAGAAUCAUGCAGUGUCAUGACUAAACUCGAAAGUUUCAAUUACUGGAUUACCUUUUUUGAAUUUUUGAUAUUAGACUUAUGUCGCUAUCAUGUGAAAUAAAGAUGAUAAAAUA